CUGAGGACGGCACAGUGGCAGCUACGCACUGCUUGUCUGAGGGGAUGGUGACAGAGCCAGGCAGAAGUACGGGACUGACCGGUGUGUUCAGGUCAGAGGCGAGCAAUCAGCAAGGCGGACCAGGAACUGGACGUGGGGAGGAAACACAGGCUGGCCUAAUGCAACCGCCAAGGUGCACCAGCUGCAAGGGUCUCACUGCUGCCACACCUGCGGCACCCGCCACGCUCUCCCCAUGAGUGAACGCAGCAGCCUCCUCCCUGGACUCCCGCUGCCCUCCUGGGCACCUCCCCUGCUCCCCACAUUCAUGUUUCUCCUCUAACCCGAGGCCAGAGUGACCUUCGCAAAACAGCCACCGCACCCCACCUGGCAGCACCCCGGACACACGUGCAGCUACACAUUUCAUCUGCCGAACCAGAUGUGGUGGUGUUCAGCGUAUUGCUGUUCAAUGAAACCCAU